ncrna:unclassified sequences L13-Bacteroidia ribosomal protein leader
GGGGAGAGGCUUAGAAUCCCCGUGAAUCCUGGUGUGAAUAGUGGUGUCUUUGGCCGGGCACAACGGUUCGUGAAUC